rnacentral:rRNA from 1 species
GAUGAACGCUAGCGGCAGGCUUAACACAUGCAAGUCGAGGGGCAGCAUAAGGGUAGCAAUGCUCUGGUGGCGACCGGCGCACGGGUGAGUAACGCGUAUGUAAUCUACCUAUAACUGGAGCAUAACCCGAAGAAAUUCGGACUAAUUCUCCAUAGCAUGUUAGCUUGGCAUCAAGUUAAUAUUAAAGGCUUCGGCUGGUUAUAGAUGAACAUGCGUAUCAUUAGAUAGUUGGUAAGGUAACGGCUUACCAAGUCUACGAUGAUUAGGGGUUCUGAGAGGAUAAACCCCCACACUGGGACUGAGACACGGCCCAGACUCCUACGGGAGGCAGCAGUGAGGAAUAUUGGUCAAUGGUCGAAAGACUGAACCAGCCAUGCCGCGUGCAGGACUACGGCUCUACGAGUCUUAAACUGCUUUUUUAAGGGAACAAUAAGCACUACGAGUAGUGUGAUGAGUGUACCUUACGAAUAAGCACCGGCUAACUCCGUGCCAGCAGCCGCGGUAAUACGGAGGGUACAAGCGUUAUCCGGAUUUAUUGGGUUUAAAGGGUGCGUAGGCUGUUUAGUAAGUCAGUGGUGAAAUUUGGGGGCUCAACCCCUAACGUGCCAUUGAUACUGCUAAGCUUGAAUAUGAAUGAAGUUGGAGGAAUGUGUGGUGUAGCGGUGAAAUGCUUAGAUAUCACACAGAAGGUCGAAUGCGAAGGCAUCUGACUAAUUCAUUAUUGACGCUGAUGCACGAAAGCGUGGGGAUCAAACAGGAUUAGAUACCCUGGUAGUCCACGCCGUAAACGAUGAUAACUCGCUGUCGGGCCUUAGGGCUCGGUGGCUUAGCGAAAGCGUUAAGUUAUCCACCUGGGGAGUACGACCGCAAGGUUGAAACUCAAAGGAAUUGACGGGGGCCCGCACAAGCGGAGGAACAUGUGGUUUAAUUCGAUGAUACGCGAGGAACCUUACCCGGGCUCGAACGGCUAUUGAAUGUGUGUGAAAGCAUACAGCUAUUUAUAGCAAUAGUCGAGGUGCUGCAUGGUUGUCGUCAGCUCGUGCCGUGAGGUGUCGGCUUAAGUGCCAUAACGAGCGCAACCCUUGUCGUUAGUUACCAGCGAGUAAUGUCGGGGACUCUAGCGAGACUGCCAGCGUAAGCUGUGAGGAAGGGGGGGAUGACGUCAAAUCAGCACGGCCCUUACGUCCGGGGCGACACACGUGUUACAAUGGGAGGUACAGCGGGAAGCUACCUAGCGAUAGGAUGCCAAUCUGUAAAGCCUCUCUCAGUUCGGAUCGGAGUCUGCAACUCGACUCCGUGAAGUUGGAUUCGCUAGUAAUCGCACAUCAGCCAUGGUGCGGUGAAUACGUUCCCGGGCCUUGUACACACCGCCCGUCAAGCCAUGGAAGCUGAGGGUACUUGAAGUACGUCACCGCAAGGAGCGUCCUAGGGUAAAAUUGGUAACUGGGGCU